AACGAACGCUGGCGGCAGGCCUAACACAUGCAAGUCGAGCGCCCUUUCGGGGGAGCGGCGGACGGGUGAGUAACGCGUGGGAAUAUGCCCUUCUCUACGGAAUAGCCUCGGGAAACUGAGAGUAAUACCGUAUACGCCCUGUGGGGGAAAGAUUUAUCGGGGAAGGAUUAGCCCGCGUUGGAUUAGGUAGUUGGUGGGGUAAUGGCCUACCAAGCCGACGAUCCAUAGCUGGUUUGAGAGGAUGAUCAGCCACACUGGGACUGAGACACGGCCCAGACUCCUACGGGAGGCAGCAGUGGGGAAUCUUAGACAAUGGGGGCAACCCUGAUCUAGCCAUGCCGCGUGAGUGAUGAAGGCCUUAGGGUUGUAAAGCUCUUUCAGCUGGGAAGGUAAUGACGGUACCAGCAGAAGAAGCCCCGGCUAACUCCGUG
rnacentral:rRNA from 1 species